rnacentral:lncRNA from 1 species
UUUAGUAGCAUUGGGUAGGCCUCAUCAUUUGGCCCGCGGGCUCGUGGGCUGAUGGGGGCUGGCCCGGCCCAUUAUGGACUUUGAGAUGGCUUGGCCCGCUUUGGGCCGGACUAAGCUUGGGCUUGGGUGUCUGAAGCCCGGCCCGGCCCAUAGGCUUUGCCCGAUUAAGCCCAAGAAAGCCUAGCCCGACCAGACCACAAAAGCCCCG